rnacentral:pre_miRNA from 1 species
AUAUGUAUCAUCUGGGUAUUUUGUUAAAAUGCAGACUCUGACUCAGAAGGUCUAGGGUGUGGCCUAGAGUCUGCAUUGCUAACAAGCUCCCAAGAGAUGCUCAA